AUGACUCCCACAACAGAACAGGGCGCCUCCACCAUAGCCAGGGCUCUGCUCCUCCUCAGCCUCCUCUCUCAGGGCACAGGGUCCUGGGCCCAGGCUCCCCUCACUCAGCCGCCCUCGGUGUCCGGGACUCCAGGGACGUCAGUCACCAUCUCCUGUGUUGGGAGCAGCAAUGACAUUGGGAGGUAUAAUGAUGUCUCCUGGUACCAACAGCGCCCGGGCACGGCCCCUAAACUCCUGAUUUAUUGGGUAAACAGUCGGCCCUCGGGGAUCCCUGAGCGCUUCUCUGGCUCCAAGUCUGGCAACACGGCCACCCUGACCAUCGCUGGGCUGCAGGCCGAGGACGAGGCCGAUUAUUACUGUUGCUCAUUUACAAGCAGUGGCACUCUGCACAGUGGUAGCAAGAAGUGGAAGUCCCAAGAUUCCGCAGGAGCCACAGUGGCCCUUGCACUGCCAUGGGCUCAGCCUCUCCUGACUCGGAAAAUUCAGCUCAAAGACUUUUAA